rnacentral:rRNA from 1 species
UACGGGGGGGGCAAGCGUUGUUCGGAAUUACUGGGCGUAAAGGGCUCGUAGGUGGCCAACUAAGUCAGACGUGAAAUCCCUCGGCUUAACCGGGGAACUGCGUCUGAUACUGGAUGGCUUGAGUUCGGGAGAGGGAUGCGGAAUUCCAGGUGUAGCGGUGAAAUGCGUAGAUAUCGGGAGGAACACCAGUGGCGAAGGCGGCUUUCUGGCCUGUUCUUGACGCUGAGGCGCGAAAGCUAGGGGAGCGAACGGG